UCGCAAGGCUCAAUUGGGCUCGCUCACGAGUAAUUGUGAACGGAACACCUGUCAAAUUCGGUGAAACCUCUUUCGCGGUGCGAAGUGGCAAUACCGAGCCAAGCUUUUCAAGUUGAAAAGAAGGUGUAGAGACUAGAUGGCAGGCCCCUUCUGUAGUUGCAGACAGGGUGAAGGUAUAGUCCAGACCACGAAUCCACGCU
rnacentral:ncRNA from 1 species